rnacentral:rRNA from 1 species
AUUUAUCGCUUGGAGAUGAGCCUGCGGCCUAUCAGGUAGUUGGUGAGGUAAGAGCUUACCAAGCCUAUGACGGGUAGCUGGUUCUGAGAGGAUGAUCAGCCAGAAUGGGACUGCGAUACGGCCCAUACUCCUACGGGAGGCAGCCAUUAGGAAUCUUGCGCAAUGGACGAAAGUCUGACGCAGCGACGCCGCGUGAAGGAUGAAGGCCUUCGGGUUGUAAACUUCUUUUACCAAGGAACAAGUUCUGAGUGUACUUGGUGAAUAAGGACCCCCUAACUACGUGCCAGAAGGGUCGGUGAUGCGUAGGGUCCAAGCGUUAUCCGGAAUUACUGGGCGUAAAGAGAUGCGUAGGCGUCUUUUUAAGUUCUGUGUUAAAGACCGGGGCUCAACCUCGGAAAAGCACAGAAUACUAUUAAGAUAGAGGAAGUCAGGGGCAAGUGGAAUUCCUGGUGGAGAGGUGGAAUUCGUUGAUAUCAGGAGGAACACCAAUGGCGAAGGCAACUUGCUGGGACUUAUCUGACGCUAAGGCUCGAAAGUGUGGGUAGCAAAACGGAUUAGAUACCCGUGUAGUCCACACUGUAAACAAUCCCUGUUAGGUGUCUGUCUUUGGUGUGGUUUUAACUUCGGUUAAUUCUAGCUAAAGAUGGGUGCUACAGUUAACACAUUAAACAGGGCGCCUGGGGAGUACGAGCGCAAGCUUAAAACUCAAAGGAAUUGACGGGGACUCGCACAGGCAGUGGAGCAUUUGGUUUAAUUCGAUGCUAACCGAAAAACCUUACCAAGGCUUAAACUGUAGCUGCACGUUCUAAGAAAUUAGAUCAGCUUUCGAAGGUGCUACAGAGGUGCUGCAUGGCUGUCGUCAGCUCGUGUCGUGAGAUGUUGGGUUAAGUCCCGCAACGAGCGCAACCCCUAUCUAGUGUUAUAUAUUUCUUUAGAGACUGCCCUGCCAAAACGGGGAGGAAGGUUGGGACGACGUCUAGUCAUCAUAGCCCUUAUGUCUUGGGCAACACAAGUGCUACAAUGGUCGGUACAACGGGUGGCCAAACCGCAAGGUGGAGCUAAUCCCUCAAAAUCGGUCUCAGUUCAGAUUGUAGGCUGAAAUUCGCCUGCAUGAAGUUGGAAUUGCUAGUAAUCGUGGAUCAGCAAGCCGCGGUGAAUACGUUCUCGAGUCUUGUACACACCGCCUGUCAAGUCACGGAAGUCGGUCUUAUCCGAAGCGUUUCCGCAAGGAAGCUCGAAGGUAGG